CUUCACAGCCUUUGAAGUACACUGCUGAUUACCUAGCACCUACAAGGUUCCUGGAGGAGCUUACACAGUGGGAGAAGGACCUGUGGAUGGCAAUUGCCACACCAGAGGUGUGAAGGAUGAUUCACGGAGAGGAGAAGGACAUGGAGGAUGGAGCCCCAGAGAACACCGACAUCCAGGAGACAGCAGCAGCAGAAUAGCCAGGAAGAGAGCAGAGGAGAAAGGGCUUAGAGAAUCAUGGAGAGAAGCCAGGUGAGGAUGCUGAGGGUGAAAAAUAUAUUCUGCUGAGUUGAAAUGUGAAUUGGAGGAGUCUCAGGCUGAGUGGUGCCUGAGGCAUGUUCAUCAUUUAUCAGGUAAGCCAAAGCCAUGUAACAUUUUGAAGUGAUUCCCCAGGGUCCUCCUAUGUACUUUUCUAGAUACUUGCUCACAGGAGUGAC